UACAGAGGGUGCAAGCGUUGUUCGGAAUUACUGGGCGUAAAGGGCUCGUAGGCGGCCAACUAAGUCAUACGUGAAAUCCCUCGGCUUAACCGGGGAACUGCGUCUGAUACUGGAUGGCUUGAGUUUGGGAGAGGGAUGCGGAAUUCCCGGUGUAGUGGUGAAAUGCGUAGAUAUCGGGAGGAACACCAGUGGCGAAGGCGACUACCUGGCCUGUUCUUGACGCUGAGGCGCGAAAGCUAGGGGAGCAAACGGG
rnacentral:rRNA from 1 species